GAUGAACGCUAGCUACAGGCUUAACACAUGCAAGUCGCGGGGUAACAUCUGGUAGAGCUUGCUCUUCCAGGAUGACGACCGGCGCACGGGUGAGUAACGCGUAUCCAACCUGGCCCAUACCACGGGAUAGCCCGUCGAAAGGCGGAUUAAUACCGUAUGCUGGCAUCAAAAUGCGACGAAAGGCUUAGCGGAUAUGGAUGGGGAUGCGUCCGAUUAGCUUGACGGCGGGGUAACGGCCCACCGUGGCGACGAUCGGUAGGGGUUCUGAGAGGAAGGUCCCCCACAUUGGAACUGAGACACGGUCCAAACUCCUACGGGAGGCAGCAGUGAGGAAUAUUGGUCAAUGGGCGCAGGCCUGAACCAGCCAAGUCGCGUGAGGGAAGACGGUCCUACGGAUUGUAAACCUCUUUUGUCGGGGAGUAACGUGCGGGACGCGUCCCGUAUUGAGAGUACCCGAAGAAAAAGCAUCGGCUAACUCCGUG
rnacentral:rRNA from 1 species